rnacentral:rRNA from 2 species
UACGUAGGUGGCAAGCGUUGUCCGGAAUUAUUGGGCGUAAAGCGCGCGCAGGCGGCUUUCUAAGUCCAUCUUAAAAGUGCGGGGCUUAACCCCGUGAUGGGAUGGAAACUGGAAAGCUGGAGUAUCGGAGAGGAAAGUGGAAUUCCUAGUGUAGCGGUGAAAUGCGUAGAGAUUAGGAAGAACACCGGUGGCGAAGGCGACUUUCUGGACGACAACUGACGCUGAGGCGCGAAAGCGUGGGGAGCAAACAGG